rnacentral:rRNA from 1 species
GACGAACGCUGGCGGCGUGCUUAACACAUGCAAGUCGAACGGAUAGGCCCUGCUUUUGUGGGGUGCUCGAGUGGCGAACGGGUGAGUAACACGUGAGUAACCUGCCCUUGACUUUGGGAAAACUUCAGGAAACUGGGGCUAAUACCGGAUAGGAGCUCCUGCUGCAUGGUGGGGGUUGGAAAGUUUCGGCGGUUGGGGAUGGACUCGCGGCUUAUCAGCUUGUUGGUGGGGUAGUGGCUUACCAAGGCUUUGACGGGUAGCCGGCCUGAGAGGGUGACCGGCCACAUUGGGACUGAGAUACGGCCCAGACUCCUACGGGAGGCAGCAGUGGGGAAUAUUGCACAAUGGGCGGAAGCCUGAUGCAGCAACGCCGCGUGCGGGAUGACGGCCUUCGGGUUGUAAACCGCUUUCGCCUGUGACGAAGCGUGAGUGACGGUAAUGGGUAAAGAAGCACCGGCUAACUACGUG